UCGGGCUACAGAGCGAGAACCUGCUUCAAAAACACCAGACUCACUGUGUAGCCCAAGC
ensembl:miRNA Mir1191b microRNA 1191b